CAAUCUACAGCUUUGAGUUUUUUGAAAAUGUUUUGCAAAUAGUGUCUACAAAGUGUGCCAUGUGAUGGCAAUUUCAUUGAUCAGAACUCUUAAAGGAGGAAGUACAGAGACAUUUCUCUUGGCAUAAUUAAGUUUAUUUAUUUGCAAAUAUAGAGACGCUUCAAACGCUUACAAACAAUCAUCCUAGGAGUCUCUAAACAUUUGAAAAUACAUUCGAUACUUAUAGAGAAAUGGGUGGAGAUUAAGAAUCUUCAUGGUCAUACCACAGACACCACAUGUUCCUUAUCCAUCUUACACAACAGAAGGUAUCUUCCUCAAUCCUGUCCUAAAACCCAUUGUUAUGUAUCUACCCCCAUCCUGCUAUAGGUUUACGUUUACCUCAGCACCUCAUACUUCCUUUACCACAGCACAACCGACAUUCCUUUUCUUAUCUAAACAUGGGGACUCAAUACAUGAAUCAAUAAGAAUGCAGUUCAAGACAUUUCCAUAACAAUCCAUCUCUUGAUACCAAAUCAACCCUUGGUAUCAAUCCUUAAACAGUUUACUCAUUAGGAUGCAACAAAACAGUACUCUUUAACAACAUGAUAUCAUUACCCUUAUACUUAGAGAACACAUUUUCAUUAUACAAAACUAUAAUAGUACAGCAAAACCUUUUUGUGUUAAAAUAAUUGGUCAAAGGAAAACAUUUCAGGUGACACAUACUGACAUUAUGGGAUAUGUAGCAUCGACAAGUGGGUAUAUAAACACCCAUCACUGUAUAGAUCCUUCAAUUUGUCACUGGUACAAAGUCCUCUCAGGCCAAUUGCUUGAUUUACUGAAAAGCCCUCUCCAUGGUUCCAUUUAGAUGUACUUCCAAAGUUCUGCUCCUCCAAACGUCAGACAGUCAGUUAUGAACCAUUUCUUGGCAGGCCGGUGUAACAGAACGUAAAAGUCAGAUGUAUAUUCCAAGGUGUUGUCCUUCAUAGCUCAAAUGCAGGUUACCAUGACACAGCUCUAGUUGUCUUCAUUCUAGCUGCUUCAUCAGCCAGGUCAGGAGAAUCGUGUGUUCUCCUUUGUGAAUGCCAAGAUGACCAGUUUUAUCCAAGGGCUCUAUAGCUGCAGGCCGGGUCGGAAGUGAUGGUUACUAGCACCAGAAAAUUCACUUUUCCCUCAGUGACUUCAAUUCACUGUGCCUAAUCUUGAAACACUGAAGCCCUCCUUUAGCGUGUGUCGUCAACCCCAGGCUCCUCUCUCAGCUACCUGGACAGCAGAUGAGAUGUUACCUGGUAUGGACCCAAUCAGCGUAGCAUGAUGUCGUGCAGUAGAUCUUUCCGCGUCCCCGUAAACGUUGUCCAGAACCGGAGCUUUCUUUCGCCUCCAUCCUCUCGGCCAGUGGUUGCCUUCUCCAUCACAUUGCAGAAUCGUCAGGACUCGAAUCAGUCCGGCUCACAGGAGCCCAGCAUCCUGUAGACGUGCGGCACCUAGACGUGCAGUGUCCCAGAGUAGACUCCUCUCCGCUGUAGGACAGUCUGUCUGUGUGUCUGUGAGAUCCAUCUCAUCUCAGCCACCUCACAGUUGUCCUUGUAAGCCCUCUAUUGCUGAAUCGCUUUCAAGUGUCCUGUACCUGAAGUGUGAAUUAUCCUUGAGAAGAUUAGUUGCAACUGCACAGUACAUCACCACAAAUAUGUCCAUUACGUUAGCUUGUUGUAUCUCGCUGAUACAUUAGAACCAAACACUAUCAAACACUCAACCCUAACAGUUGUAAUCAAUAACAGUAUUGUUAAAACAUUAACAUCUCUGGUGCUCUCAGUUCACCAUCCAACCAGAUCACAGUUGCUAUAUAAAUUACAUCUGAUUGUGUUGUAUCGGAACUACAAUCAAAUUCACCAUUGUUUCACAUAAAUGAUCAAAUACCUAAUUUCAAAUCAAAACAUGUCACACCAUCUUGAGGGUCAGCUAACUUAUUUAGCCAAUUUUCUUCACAAGAUGAAAACUCAGUGUGAAUGUCUCAAAGUCUCUUCUUCAAAGACACUCUUUAAUCCUGACAUAAAUCAUGACCCCCCCCCCUUUUUGUCUUAUCACCCCAGGGCUCUCCCUGGAGUGGGGGGUGGUCUAUUAACCUAAGAACAGAUCCAAUCUCAUAGGACAGAGUGGUGUUAUCUUGAGGCCAGACAAUUGCAAGCAACCUUACACCUCAGAAGCAUUUGUUAACCAUUAACAGUCCAAACAAGUUAAAAUCCAUCUCAAACCGUUUUUUUUGUCAGUGAGUGGAGUGCUCCAGGGGGUCUGUACCUCUCAGAAUUACUUUCUCAGUAUCAAUUAAAACAUGGCAAAAUUUAGCAAACUCCCUGCACAUUUUUACCCACUUAUUCCAUAAUGCAUGAGAUUAAUAUGAUUACUUCUAAUCAAAUAUUAAACAAACUGAACAGUAACACUCCCAUCAAAUUAGUUAUUUCUUAGCUAAACCAUUUCAAAAUGGUAAGAUGUAUUCCACUCAACCAUAACCAUGUUAGAUUUGGUAUAAAACAAACUUCUCAAAAAACCCAAUUAGACACUGUGAAGGGAUGUUGAUUUUAACAGAUGCCAAUUUUCUGCUAUAACUUUUGGAAACAGAAAAACUAAAUUCUUCACGCAACUCUUUAAAUACCUGUUUAAUUCGCUUUGAAUUAAUGAUUUUUCAUCAUAGAUAAUCAUUUCAUACAAUCCCGCCCUGCUUUCACGACAGAGUCAACGGAAAAUGACUCCAAGUGAAAGCAGAACCAUUACAGGACGGACAUGAGAAAAAAAAAAAGAGAAAAAAAAAAAAAAAUCGAUAGUUGGGAGGAAUCUACAUUCAUCCAGUAAAACGUCGCAAAUGUGAAAAUGAUAACACCCACAUAUAAAAAUAAACAUCCAUAAAGGAAAUAAAAGACUACCACACAGUCGCUCGUGUGAAGUAAGCAUAUUGAAACAACUCCCAAAUUAGCAUAUCAAAAUGAGCAUUUUGAUAUGCCAGGGUUCUGGAGAGAAUACGGCCGAUAGUAUAACCUCGGAUUCAGGAGGAACAGUGUGGUUUUCGUCCGGGCCGUGGAACACUGGACCAGCUCUAUACCCUCUACGGGGUGUUGGAGGGUUCAUGGGAGUUUGCCCAACCAGUCCACAUGUGUUUUGUGGAUUUGGAGAAGGCAUUCGACUGUGUCCCUCGCGGCGUCCUGUGGAGGGUGCUUCGGGAAUAUGGGGUCCUGGGUCCUUUGCUAAGGGCUGUCAGGGCCCUAUACGACCGAAGUAGGAGCUUGGUCCGCAUUGCCGGCAGUAAGUCAGACUUGUUCCCAGUGCAUGUUGGACUCCGGCAGGGCUGCCCUUUGUCACCAGUUCUGUUCAUAAUUUUUAUGGACAGAAUUUCUAGGCGCAGCCAGGGGCCGGAGGGUGUCAGGUUUGGGGACCACACGAUUUCAUCUUUGCGGAUGAUGUUGUCGUGUUGGCCCCUUCAAACCAGGACCUUCAGCAUGCGCUGGGACGGUUUGCAGCAGAGUGUGAAGCGGUGGGGAUGAGAAUCAGUACCUCCAAAUCCGAGGCCAUGGUCCUCAGUCGGAAAAGGGUGGCUUGCCCACUUCAGGUUGGUGAAGAGUGCUUGCCUCAAGUGGAGGAGUUUUCUAGGGGUCUUGUUCACGAGUGAGGUAAGGAUGGAACGGGAGAUUGACAGACGGAUCGGUGCAGCUUCUGCAGUAAUGCGGUCAAUGUAUCGGUCUGUCGUGGUGAAGAAAGAGCUGAGCCUUAAGGUGAGUCAUUGAAAAGGCCAAAUGUUUGUUUAUGGUCCUCAGACUAUCCUAUCAAUUCAGCCGACAUCCUUUGUUAACUGGAGAUUUUAGAUUUAGUGUCCAACCCAUGUAAUAUUUUCGCAGUUUGUAAAAAUGUGCUUAUCAUUAUCUAUACAACAACUCAACAUUAGGGUGGAAAUUAAGAAACUCUUAAUGGCAAUGCAGACAGAAAACAGAUGUAUGACGUCACUAAAAUCAAGGUACAAUAAGCAAUCCAAAGGAAACUCAACGUAGGCCUUAAACACUGGUCAGUUCACCAGCCAGUAACGAGCAUCAGGCACAGGUCUGAGAACACAAGUAUUAUCCCAGGUAUCAUUGUAAAUACAAACAAAGUGACAGUAAAUCAUUAACCAAAUCCAAUUGAACAUUUAAAAAAAUAGGACAUCCUAUGGGUUAUUUAUUCGGGGAAUAAACAGGCUGUGGUCAUUUUACCCUAUUUUGCAGGCUAUGAGUAUAUUGGCUGAAUCCAGUCUUCAUGGAAAACAGCAUGUUAUCUUAAUAUCAAAAACUUCGGCCAUUCUACUCCAUACACGGAGAGAAAACAUUAUUUUAACCCCUCAUUACGAAACCACAAGACCAUAUUUUACUACAUCAGAGAAUCAUCAUCAUACCAAUUUCCAAGCUAACCCUCUAAUUAAAUGUAGGACUAUAUUGUCGUAAACAAUCCUAAAUUAGCAUGCGAACGCCAGCCACCAGCACAACACUAGAAGGCAAAGUUCAAUUUCGCAGAUACCACACUAAGCAAAAGGCGAAAAAGUAGGCCUUGCAUAAUAACCAUAUUAACAACGGCAUGUAAGUGUUCACCCAAAUGUACACCUAACAAGACAAAACAUUGCGAUUACAAAACUUACUAGUUAACACCAACCUCGGUAAACGAGAUCAAAUAUUCUCUCAAGGAAUACUCAAUGCAGCCAAUCGGAUCCCUCGUGCACAGGGAAUACCAAAAUGGACAAGUGCAUUUACUAGGCCAACCACAACCAAACAUAUUCCCAAUUCAACAUCCAAAACCAUUAUAUACAGGAGCACGCUAUACUCCAUAUCGCAAUCCAACUGCCGCAGUCCAACCGCCGCAGUCUAACUGCUUAUGAUCCAGCACUAAUCGCAACACAAUAGGGUAGCUGCAUGGGAAUGGUUAUUUUCCUAACUACAGGCGCUAUAACCAAAACACCUCAAAUAACUUCCAUUUACCAUACUUUCUCAAAUCCAUCUAUCAACUUCCACAAAACCAUCAAAUCUGACAUACAAAAACCAACCACAUACUAAAGCAUAUGAAAGCUGUAUUAAGGAAUGAUCUCACCGGUCGAUGCUCCCUCUGGAGCGUCUCCUGUCUGACCGUCCGCACCCCUCCCCCAGGCGGUCCAGCGUUCCUGCGUGUUCCUGUGUACCUGCAAAUUUAAACGUAGCGGUUAGCAAAGUGUCUUCCUCAACCCCGGGUCUGUCGUCUUCUUUGGUCUCAGUCGCCGCAAACACCUGAGACUCCCCACUUCUGGACAUUUUCUUGACCCGUGUAGCUCAACACUUCCAAAGCAGAGCGAACACCACCACGGACAACGAAAAGGUCCAUAGAGCGAAACCAAACGAGGGCCAGUUCGGCCUCCGGCAGGGAAAUGUUGGGACCACGCAAACUUCCAAGAAGUCCUAACGGGGGGGGGGGGGGGGGGGCGGUCAGAGGGGACAACCUGAACGAAAAGGGCUACAACACAGAUCAAUACAACCCACAACUUUCCCAAAGCUUCCACCAGUCACCACUUACCGUAGCCUACGCCUUCCAAAAAACUUCUCAUUAGGCCUUCAGCAACUUCCAUACGUUACCACGGCCAUCUACCUCCAACCAGCCCGGCAGGCCGCGCAUCCGUCUCCGAAUGAAAAUGCCAGGCGCCGGAAAAACCUAAUAAAAAAACUCAAAAAAAAAAAUUCACAUGUCCAAACACCAUAAAUGACAGAAACAAUGGCUGCUUAUUGACCUUAUUCACCGUCCAUCUUGAAAUCCAAAACGAGGCUAGGGGGUACACUCUAAACCGGAAGUUCAUUGACAGAGCGCAGCAGCGGGCGUCUGUCAUCAUGAUACCUGUGUGGACAUCAAAUCUUUCAUGUCUUCCCGAAAUAACAGUGGACUAUGUCGAAAAAUGGGCCAAUAAGGACUGCAUUAUUCCCCGGGCUGUUUUGCUAAAAUGAUACAGCAACUGGUUUGAGGGAUAUGUGCACGACGUGGAAGGUAAUGCACAGACGAUCACAGCUUUUUUUCUGAAAUCAACAUUAGUUAACGUUACUUUUAAAGUUAGCUUGUUAGCUAGAUAAAACAACAGGACGUGAUAGCGAUGUUACGGAGGGAUGUUACGUAGGGUUGGAGAAGGUACUAUUCAGGUCUCACAGGUAACACAGAUGCUAAAAACGAAUCAGUAAUGUCGUCUACUGGGAUGCACAAACCCAGUAAAAUGGAUGUUACUGUUUAUAGUAGUUGUGUGCGUAACAUGGUCUAGAUGGUUAUUAUCAUAAACAUGCACAGAUCACUUGUUUAUAUUUUGCUGUAAGUCACGGCUGCAGGACGUUAGCUGCCCAGGCUAGUAAAAAGAGCAACAACUUGCUUAACGUUACCCCCAAAUCAGCCCUUCGCUUGUUAUAACUUAAAAAGGACCGGUUCGUGGCUAAUCAAGUCAUGUCUAUUUAGCCAGAAGGUUUAGCUAGCUAUCUCUAUGACAGUUAACGUAAAUAAGGCUAAUGUUAGCAUUGUAAACUAAUGUUAAUAUCUUACCUUGAAAUGGCGACCGGGAUCUCUUCUUAUUUUAUAAAUCCAUUCACGGCAAAGUACAUGAUCUUUGGGGAAACGAUGGAAGGUUUGACCUGUAUAGGAUUUAUAGUCUACAGAUGGGCGAGACAACGUUACUUCCGUACCCCACAGCCUCGUUUUGGUUUAAAUGAAGUGACGUGGGUGAAUAAGGCGAAUAGACAGCUCAAACCAUAGACAUAAUAUGGCUCAAACGGCCGCGUUACCUUCCCGAGAUGCUUUGCGCAACCGUCAAUAAAGCCAUGAUGCUGUUCAUAGACAAUUAUUUGUAUCCGCGGGACCAGUGGACAUCCACCGUUAGUCAAAACCCGCGCGAUACGAAUCACCAGAGGAAGGACUAAACUAUUUUAAGGAAGGGCUAGCAGUGAUCGCAUCAGCCACACGAGAAUCACAGAGGACGGAAGCGCGAUGUCAUUCCGUAUUCGGGAGGGUUCUGUAAUAGAAGAACGCACACAGCCCGGUCAAAGCCAAUUCCCUCGACGAGACCCCUGCGAACCCACACCGGCGACGAAAACUCUGAGCCAACACCGGAAGCCGCGAUGGCAACUGUAUAGCCCUAUACACGGGGUUCUCUUUCCCAGUCGAACAGAUGUGAACCGAGGCAGUUGUAGACACAAUGUCCUGAACAGUAGACAAUAUCGUACGCGCCCUUGAUCUCGUUACUCUUUCUAAAAGAGAACGACAGCAUGGUGACACCGGCGUUAGUUCCUAACCCUACAGGGCAAGUGAUAGACAUGAGUCUCUUCACAUAUGCCGCUGCUCAUAUCCAAUGAGGCCUGAGCGGCAACAGAGUUCUAACCAGCGCGACACAAGCCACUAGAGGAAGGGCUAAGCUAUUCCUAUCAGGAAACGGGAGUGGCACCACAGACUCAGUCGCAAGGGGCUGAGACACAAAAUGUAUUUUAUGGAAAAGUAAAAAUCGCCGCAGCGUAUUACAACCAAGAGACAAUACAUCUGGGGGCUGAACAGUCGGAGACCCAGGUCUCAGCCGAAUCCACGCCUAUCAAACCCAUACCACCAAAUCCCACGUGAGACGCAACACCUGAGGCACUGAGUCAGAAUGAAGAAGGGUGCACUCACUUAUAUAGGAACAGGUGUGCCCUGAUUGGCUGAGCGGUAGUCCUCCAUUACGUAAGCUAUAUUUUCUGCUGAGUCGUCAUUAUGACUUAGGUAGCAAGCUGGUGUUGCUGACUAAGGGUUCCCUAGAUUUUCAGCUAAAUCGUCUUUAUGACGUAUGUAGCUAGCUAUUGCAGCUAACUAACCGUUCCUGUAGGCUUAAUGGUUGGGAAAAUACCAGGUUUAGGAGACAUGUCUCCAAAAAUUUACACUCAAGCUUUUUGGACAGUGUGCAUUUACAAUUUUGAUAUUCGCCACCAAAGAGAAUCAGGUAAAAAAAAUAAUAAUAAUCGCAUAUAAAGAUAGUUAGAUAAUAUAUAGAUAAUAUUUCAGUUGUCUUAAU
ensembl:lncRNA